rnacentral:rRNA from 1 species
UAUUAUAAUUUAUUUAAAUUGGGAGAUUAGAGUAGUAAUAGUUAAGAUCUUGAAACUCAAAGAAUUUGGCGGUAUUUUAGUCCUUUCAGAGGAAUCUGUCCUAUAAUUGACAGUACACGAUUUAUUGUACUUUCUUUUGUUUAUCAAUUUGUAUACCGCCGUCAUAAGAUUAUCUUUAAGAGGGUAUAAAAUUUCUUUAUUUUAUAUUGAUAAAAUAUGUCAGGUCAAGGUGCAGUUAAUGGGAAAGAAGGAGAUGGAUUACAAUAAUUAUAAUUAUAUGAAUACUUAAAUAUAUUAAUGGGUUGAAGGUGGAUUUGAUUGUAAAUUUGAUUUAUAAUAUUAAUUUGAUUAAGGCUCUAAAAUGUGCACACAUCGCCCGUCGCUCUCGUAGAUGUAUAUGAG